GAUGAACGCUGGCGGCGUGCCUAAUACAUGCAAGUCGAGCGAACAGACGAGGAGCUUGCUCCUCUGACGUUAGCGGCGGACGGGUGAGUAACACGUGGAUAACCUACCUAUAAGACUGGGAUAACUUCGGGAAACCGGAGCUAAUACCGGAUAACAUGUUGAACCGCAUGGUUCAACAGUGAAAGACGGUCUUGCUGUCACUUAUAGAUGGAUCCGCGCCGCAUUAGCUAGUUGGUAAGGUAACGGCUUACCAAGGCAACGAUGCGUAGCCGACCUAAGAGGGUGAUCGGCCACACUGGAACUGAGACACGGUCCAGACUCCUACGGGAGGCAGCAGUAGGGAAUCUUCCGCAAAGGGCGAAAGCCUGACGGAGCAACGCCGCGUGAGUGAAGAAGGUCUUCGGAUCGUAAAACUCUGUUAUUAGGGAAGAACAAAUGUGUAAGUAACUAUGCACGUCUUGACGGUACCUAAUCAGAAAGCCACGGCUAACUACGUG
rnacentral:rRNA from 1 species